rnacentral:rRNA from 1 species
UACUAGCGGUCCAAGUCGCAGCCAUUUUAUUGGGUCUAAAACAUCCGUAGCUUGCUUAGUAAGUUCCUUGUGAAAUUCCAUAUCUCAAGUAUGGAGCGGGCAGGGAGUACUGCUGUAGCUAGAGACUGGAAGACGUAACGAGUACGUUCUAAGUAGCGGUAAAAUGUGUUAAUCUAGGACGGACUAACAAUAGCGAAGGCACGUUACGAGGACAGUUCUGACAGUAAGGGAUGAAAGCUAGGGGCGCAAA